GAUCGAACCCUUACCGAUCCUCAACAAUCAUCCAUACACCAAUCGCUUUAUUGGUGUAUCAUCAUUUUCAUCAUUCCCGGCAACAACAACAACAACGACGACGUCCACCACACCGACGACGAUAGCCCAGCUAGUAGAACGGAAACAGUAGUCUAGCAUCAGCAUUUCAUCACCUGACAACAUAGGUAGCAUUUACGUGGACAACCACCGAACGAGACCACUAAACGAAGCCACAGCCCUUUGGACCCGCGGCAUCAGCAGUUCUUCCACAGCAACAGCAUAAGCAUUGCAGUAGGUAGUGAGGUUUGAUCGUAAUCAAUAAUUGAAUAAAGGUUCAGUUCGUUUUAGGCAGUAGAUCGAAUAAGUUCUUUUUUUUUUAAACUUAGUCUGGGUGACACCCUUCUUCACUGGCGCAGUCGGCAGUUCUAGCGUGGAGUAGUUAAAGUGUAGUGAAAAGUGUUCUUAUCCGAAAUCAUCGGCGGCUUACCGAAGAGCAAAGGAGGAAACACCUAAACUACAGAUUCUAGUGCACCGGCGGUUCACCGAGACACCAAAAUCAUCUUUAACGAAGCUUCACACCUGCUAGAAGACAUCGAACCAUCCGAGGGAAUAUCGGACAUCGAACCAUCCGAGGGAAUAUCGGACAAUCGAACCAUCCGAGGGAAUAUCGGACAAUUUAACCAUCCGAGGGAACAUCGGAUAAAACCCAUCCAUACAGCUACCAACAUGAAACCACGUGAAAUUUUAUAUGCAGCCAAAAAUGGACAGGAGAGACCGAUAGAAAUGGAACGCCUUGUUGAACUUCGUGACAAGUUGAAGCGAGAGGAUCCGCCAAAACUAAAACAAAACGAAUUGGCAUAUAACCGCAUCCAAGGAGUGAAGUCGAAAAUUAAGGACCGCUACCAACAAGUGCGAGUACGAUCUAACCGGAAACACACGUACAAAGAUAUCCUAAGUCGAAAAUUGCAUAAAGAAAAACUGCGACGAAUCCGAAAGUAACACCACAGAAUCUCUAAUGUGUUUUUUCAUUUGUUUUCUCUUUUUAGAUGACGUUUAUUUGGAAUAUCCUGAUAACAACCACAUUCCUUACUCAGCUAUCCCAACCACAAUCCAUCCACGUCAUUAAUCUCAAACAAAACCCCGGUCUUUUAACCAUAGAAACUGGCAACAGUUUUAUAAAAAUAGGCAAUCACAGAUUGUUUCAUAUCCUAGAACUGGAUAAUUACGAACCUAUUUUUAGAAAAUUGCUUGCUAAUAUCCAAGGAAUACGGACAUUCUCAAAUUUUACUGAUAUGUUUGAAAUCUUAGAAUCGAAAUAUGGAACCGUUCACAGUUUAUUCAAUAAUCUUCGGCCAAAGCAAAGAAAUAAAAGAGGAUUAUUUAAUUUUCUCGGAACUGGAAUAAAAAGAAUUACAGGAAAUAUGGACCAUAACGACUAUGAACAAAUUUCGAAAAAUAUUUUUGAACUGCAGAUCAAGAACAAAAGACUUAUUAACGAAAACAACGAACAGCUUAAAAUUAAUCUACAACUCCAAAAUAGAAUCAAUUCCAUUAUCAACCGUUUAAAUCAACAACAGAGUGAAAUAACUAAAAACAUUAUAUCAGCUAGAUUUGAAAACGAAACCAACAAAAAACUUUAAAUUAUUUAGAGAAAUUUUGAAAAUCAAUUACAACUUAGACAACCUUAAAUCACAUUUAGAAGACAUUUUUGAAUCAAUUCAGUUAGCAAGAACUAACAUUAUUCCCAAACAAAUACUUUCAAUUGAAGAGUUAGGAUUUGUUUCAGAUAUAUUAGAAGAACAAAACAUUAGGACGAACAGUUUAGAUCAAAUUUAUGAAUAUUUAGAAUUGUCAGCAUUUUAUAACCAUUCAAAACUAAUAUUUGUUGUGUCAAUUCCAAAAAUAGAAAAAGCUAUGUACACACAUUUUUUCCUAGAACCUCUUCCAGUAGUAGAUAAAAUUUUAAAACUUCCUGCUAAUGCUGCUUUGCAAAGCGACAACAGAACAUAUUUCAUCAAGAAGGAUUGCCUGCGAAUCGAAAGGACAAGACUGUGCAAUCUAAGCAGCCUAGAGGACAUUACCGGCGACCUAUGCUACUCAAACCUACUAAGAGGACUAUCAGGAAACUGUACUUUCGUAAAAUGCUAUCAAUCAACGGAGAUCAAAGCGAUCAUGGACAAUUACCUUGUCGCUAAAAACA